rnacentral:rRNA from 1 species
UACGGAAGGCAGCAGGGGGGAAUAUUGCACAAUGGGCGCAAGCCUGAUGCAGCCAUGCCGCGUGUAUGAAGAAGGCCUUCGGGUUGUAAAGUACUUUCAGUCGUGAGGAAGGUGUUAAGGUUAAUAACCUUAGCAAUUGACGUUAGCGACAGAAGAAGCACCGGCUAACUCCGUGCCAGCAGCCGCGGUAAUACGGAGGGUGCGAGCGUUAAUCGGAAUUACUGGGCGUAAAGGGCACGCAGGCGGUUAAUUAAGUUGGAUGUGAAAUCCCCGGGCUUAACCUGGGAAUGGCAUUCAAGACUGGUUAGCUAGAGUCUUGUAGAGGGGGUAGAAUUCCAUGUGUAGCGGUGAAAUGCGUAGAGAUGUGGAGGAAUACCGGUGGCGAAGGCGGCCCCUGGACAAAGACUGACGCUCAUGUGCGAAAGCGUGGGGAGCAAACGAGGGAUUAGAUACC